AACGCAGCGAAGGGGCGAUAAGUAAUGUGAAUUGCAGUAUUUUCAGUGAAUCAUCGAAUCUUUGAACGCACCUUGCGCUCCUUGGUAUUCCGAGGAGCAUGCCUGUUUGAGUGUCAUUAAAUUCUCAACUCCAAGGGUUUCACGACCUUUCGGAGAUUGGACUUGGAGGUGCUGGCCGCAUAUCGGUCGGCUCCUCUUAAAUGCAUCAGCGGAAUCUAACGUUUCGGACGUCAGUGUGAUAAUCAUGUUGCGCUGUCUGUCUGAUCCGAAAGCCCCGCUCACAAUGGUCUUCGGACAACUUCAUAUCAAAUUUGACCUCAAAUCAGGUAGGACUACCCGCUGAACUUAA
rnacentral:rRNA from 1 species